UACGUAGGGUGCAAGCGUUAAUCGGAAUUACUGGGCGUAAAGCGUGCGCAGGCGGUUGUGCAAGACAGAUGUGAAAUCCCCGGGCUUAACCUGGGAAUUGCAUUUGUGACUGCACGGCUAGAGUGUGUCAGAGGGGGGUAGAAUUCCACGUGUAGCAGUGAAAUGCGUAGAGAUGUGGAGGAAUACCGAUGGCGAAGGCAGCCCCCUGGGAUAACACUGACGCUCAUGCACGAAAGCGUGGGGAGCGAACAGG
rnacentral:rRNA from 1 species